rnacentral:rRNA from 1 species
CCUACGGGAGGCAGCAGUGGGGAAUAUUGCACAAUGGGGGAAACCCUGACGCAGCAACGCCGCGUGAGUGAUGAAGUACUUCGUUUCGUAAAGCUCUUUUCGAAGGGAAGAAGCAAUUGACUUUAGGUUAGGAAUAAGUCUCUGCGAACUACGUGCCAGCUGCCGCGGUAAUACGUAGGAGGCUAGCGCUAUCCGGAAUGGCUGGGUGUAAAUGUUGCGUAGGUGGUGUGGCAAGUUAGUAGCGUCACUCCAAGGCUGAACCUUCGAACUGCUGCUGAAAGUGUUGGACUUGAGUGCAGGAGGGGCAAGCGGAAUUCCUAGUGUAGCGGUGAAAUGCGUAGAUAUUAGGAGGAACACCAGUGGCGAAGGUGGGUUGCUAGACUGUAACUGACACUGAGGCACGAAAGCGUGGGGAGCAAACAGGAUUAGAUACCCUUGUAGUC